rnacentral:rRNA from 1 species
UACGGAGGGUGCGAGCGUUAUUCGGAAUUACUGGGCGUAAAGCGCGUGCAGGCGGGAAGGUAAGUCUGAUGUGAAAGCCCCGGGCUUAACCCGGGAAGUGCAUUGGAAACUGCUUUUCUUGAGUACUGGAGAGGAAGGGGGAAUUCCCGGUGUAGAGGUGAAAUUCGUAGAGAUCGGGAGGAAUACCAGUGGCGAAGGCGCCCUUCUGGACGGUUUCUGACGCUGAGACGCGAAAGAGUGGGGAGCAAACAGG